rnacentral:rRNA from 1 species
GUGGGGAAUAUUGGGCAAUGGGCGCAAGCCUGACCCAGCAACGCCGCGUGAAGGAAGAAGGCUUUCGGGUUGUAAACUUCUUUUGUCAGGGACGAAGCAAGUGACGGUACCUGACGAAUAAGCCACGGCUAACUACGUGCCAGCAGCCGCGGUAAUACGUAGGUGGCAAGCGUUAUCCGGAUUUAUUGGGUGUAAAGGGCGUGUAGGCGGGAAUGCAAGUCAGAUGUGAAAACUAUGGGCUCAACCCAUAGCCUGCAUUUGAAACUGUAUUUCUUGAGUGCUGGAGAGGCAAUCGGAAUUCCGUGUGUAGCGGUGAAAUGCGUAGAUAUACGGAGGAACACCAGUGGCGAAGGCGGAUUGCUGGACAGUAACUGACGCUGAGGCGCGAAAGCGUGGGGAGCAAACAGGAUUAGAAACCCUUGUAGUCC